GGCGUUAUCUCAUUUUGGAACCAAACUGUAAAAAAACUGAGUUAUCUUGUUUUGGAACCAAACUUGAAAAAAAAAACGAUUUGUUCCAAAACAAGAUAACUCCGUUGGUUCCAAAACGAGACAACUCCGUUUUUUUUUAAAAGUUUGGUUCCAAAACAAGAUAACUCCGGGGUUUGUUUUUUUAAGUUUGGUUCCAAAACAAGAUAACUCCGGGGUUUUUUUAAGUUUGGUUCCAAAACGAGAUAACUCAGUUUUUUUUAAGUUUGGUUCCAAAACAAGAAAACUCCGGGUUUUUUUAAAAGUUUUGUCCCAAAACGAGACAACUCCGUUUUUUACAGUUUAGUUCCAAAACGAGAUAACUCCGUUUUUUUUUAAAGUUUGGUUACAAAACUAGAUAACUUUGGUUCCAAAGCGAGAUAACGGUUUUUCAAAAAUCUCGUUUUUUGAUUGUGCAUUCCAAUAAAUAUCAAUCAAACUGCAGUUGGUUUGUUUUGAUAACCAACUGCAGGAGUUAACUUGUUUUUGAACCAAACUCUUCAUUUUCUGUAUUGCUUUACAGAUGAAUAGGUUAGUGAAUCUGUGAAAAAGUCAUGUAUAGAAAAGGCUAUCAUAUGUAUUGAUCUGACGCCCUAUUUGUAAGCUUCAUCAGCUGCAAAGUUAACCCUGCUGCAUUUUUGUACAUAUCUUCUCAUUAGAUAUGCCAGUUGAAUUAGCUUGAUUGUGCAGAAGUCAUUGUGCAUUUUUUAUUGUUUUUUAAAUGUAAUUAAGGUGUCAUUAUAGUGUGGAAAAGUUCUCUGUUGUGUUUUAAUGGCAGCUUUACGGUCCAGUGUCAAUGAUUUUAACUACAUUUUUGUGAAUCUCUUUUUACAAAUAUUUUCAUUACAAAGUUGCGCCAAGAGGUUUCACAACCUCAGGUUUGUUUGCAAUAAAAUUGUGUUUAAAGACAGGGUGAUAGGGAUAAAUGACAGAUAUAUAAUACAGUUACAGUGUAUUCAAAACUAUUUUUCUGUAAAUCAAAUACAUUUGUGUAAUUAACUUUAUUGCAAUUGUGUGGUAACUGUUGUUUCUAAACGGUAAAUGCUUGCCAUCAGCCUUGAGUGUACUGCUGAAUUAUUCAAUCAGGUUGGUAUUUAAAAUGAUGUAUUAUGAUUGUUUGUGAAAACUGGAGUUAUUAUAUUUAGAGUUAUUAUAUUUAGCAUAUACAUUCACUGUAUAAAUGUGCUCAUUAAAGACUGAGUUCAUUAA